AUGGCCACUCACCCAAAUUUCGAUGCUACUCCAUUUGGUGGGUCCGUGGAGAACACCGAAUUUAAGUUCAGUAGGUUGUACUGGCACCACAUUUAUUCGGGACCGAGCCCAAACCAAUUAGACAUUACAAGUGCAGAUGCAAAGACUGGGUGGGGCCAGACAACCGUUCACAACUGGACAAUAUAUGAUGGGGUUGGCCCCAACGAGAAGCUAGUGGCCCGCGCACAAGGGCUGCAUCUCUACACUGGUACCUGGCACAAUACCUUCAACAUUCUGUUCGAGAUUGAGGGGUUUAAGAAAAGCACGCUUCAGGUAAUGGGAGUAUCUGUUGAUGAAGAAGGUGAGUGGUCUAUUGUCGGUGGGACAUGUGAAUUCGCUAUGGCACGUGGUGUUGUAACCAAAAGACUGCAUCAGAAAAUAGAUGGUGGAGACAUAAUCGAGCUGACCAUUCAUGGUUUUUGCCGCAAGCAGAUCACCCUCACAAAGAGUAGCCCAUGGGGUGGCAAUGGGGGUUCCGUUGUUGAUUCAGACAACCCCUUGAAGAUAGAAAGUAUCACCAUCCUACAUGAAGGAGUAAUUGGUUCAAUUCAAUAUUCUUACAUCAACCAAAAUGGCAAGAGGUGCACCGCAGGUCCUUGGGGUAGUGAAAAUCCAAGCCGCGCAGAGAUCGUGCUGGGCCCUGGGGAGAUUAUUACGCAAGUGUCCGGAACAGUUACCGUACAUAGUAAUGUCCAAUGUGUCCAAACACUCAAGUUUGUCACCAACAAGCAGAAAACAUACGGACCUUAUGGAAAUAGUGCAAACAAAAAACUUGGUACCCCUUUCAGCAUCAUGGCGCCAAAUGGCAAAGCAAUUGUUGGCUUCUUUGGGCGUACAGAUAAAACGUUCCUGAAUGCACUUGGUGUUUACAUCGCCUAG
rnacentral:rRNA from 1 species